GAGAAAUUUUCCAAGGCCAUUUCGGCCAAGAGCAAGAUCCAACAAAACCUUGGAAUUUUUUUUCUUCAAAAUCAUUUUCUACUAAUUGAAGGGUUCCUAGCAAAGUGAAGUGGUCUUUGGAGCAAGAAAAACCCAUAUUCUUGCAAGUUGUGAGUUCUAUCCAAGUGAAGAAGUGAGGAAGAAGAUUUUGGCGGAUUUGCAACUUGAAUUUGGAGUAGCAUAAGGAGCGGAAAAAGGUCAGCAGGUAGACAGAUUUGACUCCUAGGAGCUUCAUCAGCAGCAUUGUAGCAGCGCUCCAGUUGUUUCGGAGCCUCAGUCUCUUGGUACUACUUUUGUGUAUAUAAUCGGGCACGGCAGAACCCGGCCCUUCUUGUAGAGAUAUGUGUGCUAUGUUUAGAGGCUCGUAGACAGAUAUGUACAGUCAGAUGCCUUGUACUUUUGUUCGUUUUGGGGUUGUAUAACAUGCUAGCAGAUUUUA